rnacentral:rRNA from 1 species
AGCGAACGCUGGCGGCAGGCCUAACACAUGCAAGUCGAACGAACCUUUCGGGGUUAGUGGCGGACGGGUGAGUAACACGUGGGAACGUGCCUUUAGGUUCGGAAUAACUCAGGGAAACUUGUGCUAAUACCGAAUGUGCCCUUCGGGGGAAAGAUUAAUCGCCUUUAGAGCGGCCCGCGCCUGAUUAGCUAGUUGGUUGAGGUAAUGGCUCACCAAGGCGACGAUCAGUAGCUGGUCUGAGAGGAUGAUCAGCCACAUUGGGACUGAGACACGGCCCAAACUCCUACGGGAGGCAGCAGUGGGGAAUCUUGCGCAAUGGGCGAAAGCCUGACGCAGCCAUGCCGCGUGAAUGAUGAAGGUCUUAGGAUUGUAAAAUUCUUUCACCGGGGACGAUAAUGACGGUACCCGGAGAAGAAGCCCCGGCUAACUUCGUG